UACGUAGGGCGCAAGCGUUGUCCAGAAUUAUUGGGCGUAAAGAGCUCGUAGGCGGCUUGUCACGUCGGUUGUGAAAGCCCGGGGCUUAACCCCGGGUCUGCAGUCGAUACGGGCAGGCUAGAGUUCGGUAGGGGAGAUCGGAAUUCCUGGUGUAGCGGUGAAAUGCGCAGAUAUCAGGAGGAACACCGGUGGCGAAGGCGGAUCUCUGGGCCGAUACUGACGCUGAGGAGCGAAAGCGUGGGGAGCGAACAGG
rnacentral:rRNA from 1 species